CACACCGGGGAUGCCACUGACUCCCACUGUCCAGGGCUUCCAGUGGAUUCUCCGAGGCCCUGAUGUAGAAACUUCCCCAUUGGGUGCACCAAGAGCAGCCUCACAUGGUGUGGGCUGACAUCAAGAGCUGCCAGAUCCAACAGGAAGAUGGCCAAUCUUUCCUAAGCUGCUGACCUUACAAGAAAAAGAAUCGUACUGCUAAGAAUUCAAACUUCAGCAGUCAUGGGGAGCCUUGGGAGGAGCCCGAAUCACUGAUGGAAUUGGACAGUGCAUGGAGAUGGUUCAGCAGGACGAGGUGCUGAAAACUCAUCCCCGUGUGACCUCAAGUAAGCCAUGUAACUCUGUGAACCUUCAGUUUUAUCAUUUUUAAAAUAAAGAAACAUGACAGAUUUUCAUUAUGACACAGAAUGUCAGGUCUCCCAGAUGCCAGAAAAUACAUUUACUUAAAGCCGUUGAUACGUCUUAAAGCAGUUUCCUUACAGUGUCAU
rnacentral:sRNA from 1 species